rnacentral:rRNA from 1 species
UUUAUAUGAGAGUUUGAUCCUGGCUCAGGAUGAACGCUGGCGGCGUGCUUAACACAUGCAAGUCGAACGAAGCUAUUAAAAGGAAGUUUUCGGAUGGAAUUUUAAUAGACUUAGUGGCGGACGGGUGAGUAACGCGUGGAUAACCUGCCUUAUACAGGGGGAUAACGGAGAGAAAUUUCCGCUAAGACCGCAUAAGACCACAGCACCGCAUGGUGCAGGGGUAAAAUAUUUAUAGGUAUAAGAUGGAUCCGCGUCCGAUUAGCUAGUUGGUGAGGUAGAGGCUCACCAAGGCGACGAUCGGUAGCCGGCCUGAGAGGGUGAACGGCCACAUUGGGACUGAGACACGGCCCAAACUCCUACGGGAGGCAGCAGUGGGGAAUAUUGGACAAUGGGGGGAACCCUGAUCCAGCGACGCCGCGUGAGUGAAGAAGUAUUUCGGUAUGUAAAGCUCUAUCAGCAGGGAAGAAAAUGACGGUACCUGACUAAGAAGCCCCGGCUAACUACGUGCCAGCAGCCGCGGUAAUACGUAGGGGGCAAGCGUUAUCCGGAUUUACUGGGUGUAAAGGGAGCGCAGACGGCGAUGCAAGUCUGAAGUGAAAGGCGUGGGCUCAACCCAUGAACUGCUUUGGAAACUGUAUAGCUUGAGUGUCGGAGAGGUAAGCGGAAUUCCUAGUGUAGCGGUGAAAUGCGUAGAUAUUAGGAGGAACACCGGAGGCGAAGGCGGCUUACUGGACGACAACUGACGUUGAGGCUCGAAGGCGUGGGGAGCAAACAGGAUUAGAUACCCUGGUAGUCCACGCAGUAAACGAUGAAUACUUGGUGUCGGGGAGGAAAACUCUUCGGUGCCGCAAGCUAACGCAUUAAGUAUUCCACCUGGGGAGUACGUUCGCAAGAAUGAAACUCAAAGGAAUUGACGGGGACCCGCACAAGCGGUGGAGCAUGUGGUUUAAUUCGAAGCAACGCGAAGAACCUUACCAAAUCUUGACAUACUCUUGAAUAGCUUUGUAAUGAAGCUAGCCCUUCGGGGCAAGGGAUACAGGUGGUGCAUGGUUGUCGUCAGCUCGUGUCGUGAGAUGUUGGGUUAAGUCCCGCAACGAGCGCAACCCUUGUCGUCAGUAGCCAGCAGUAAGAUGGGCACUCUGACGAGACAGCCGGAGAUAAUCCGGAGGAAGGUGGGGAUGACGUCAAAUCAUCAUGCCCCUUAUGAUUUGGGCUACACACGUGCUACAAUGGCGUAAACAAAGUGAGGCAAAGCUGCGAAGCCAAGCAAAUCACAAAAAUAACGUCUCAGUUCGGAUUGUAGUCUGCAACUCGACUAUAUGAAGCUGGAAUCGCUAGUAAUCGCAGAUCAGAAUGCUGCGGUGAAUACGUUCCCGGGUCUUGUACACACCGCCCGUCACACCAUGGGAGUCAUCAAUGCCCGAAGUCAGUGACCCAACCCACACUGGUAAACAUAAAGCUGUGAUAAUGAUACAAAGUAAUAAACCGCUAGGUUUAUGGAUGAGUAUCAUUAUAUGAUAUAAAGAAUAGCAGUAAGUUAUGUUUAGCAGUGUGGGAGGGAGCUGCCGAAGGCAGGGAGGAUAACUGGGGUGAAGUCGUAACAAGGUAGCCGUAUCGGAAGGUGCGGCUGGAUCACCUCCUUUCUAAGGAA